rnacentral:rRNA from 1 species
UACGUAGGGCGCAAGCGUUUGUCCGGAAUUAUUGGGCGUAAAGAGCUCGUAGGCGGCUUGUCACGUCGGGUGUGAAAGCCCGGGGCUUAACCCCGGGCCUGCAGUGGAUACGGGCUGGCUGGAGGCAGGCAGGGGAGAACGGAAUUCCUGGUGUAGCGGUGAAAUGCGCAGAUAUCAGGAGGAACACCGGUGGCGAAGGCGGUUCUCUGGGCCUGUUCUGACGCUGAGGAGCGAAAAGCGUGGGGGAGCGAACAGG